UGCCAGCUAGCCGUUGUGCGUGUGUGCUCCUGUUCACGUGGGCAUAUUCGUUGCCCCCUCCCACAGGUUCCUUCACACACUCAAUAUAAGACUUGUCCAGGCAUCCUUCAUUGUGCUCCCCACCCCCUCCCUCUUCUUCCUCGCUGGCGAGUCGCCCGACGGUGAGACGUUCAGUGACGUUGUCGGACGACCCCUAGGCCGGAAGUCACGGAGUGACCCCCCUCCCUUUCCACACACACACACACACACGCACACACGCCCGCCUGUCCCGUUCAAACACAUCAAAAGCCAAGCGAAAAAGAGAGAGUACGGUCCGUUAGCAGGCAGCUCGUAACUGCCCCACUGGACACACGGUGCAUACGCACAUCUCACUCGUGUCUCUCGACCCCUCUCCGUAUCAUCUCUCGCUCGCUCUCCCACUUUUUUGUCUGGUUUUCCGCAUUUCGGUUUGGCUGUAGACACGCGAAGAGCACCACACGUUGUUGGCUGUUGCUGCGCCGGGGGUGAAGAAGCAGACAGAAGCAUUGGCCAUCUUCAUCCAUCCGUCUCCUCAUCAGCGACACUGUCGCUGCAAUCUUCUUUUUCCUGUUGCCUUUUCCCACCUGCGAAACAUCUCUCACUCUGUGCGUGCGUGCGUCUUUGUGGAGCUGUCCGCCCUUUAUUCAUUGACUACCUUUCUUAUCGCUUAGUCUGUUUUGCAGAAAAGAAAUCAUAGAUAGAUCCUGCCCCCUUCUCCCCUCCCCACCCCCACGCCAUCGUGCCUCCUCCGUUGCCGUCCGUCCGUCCGUCCGUCCGCCGCUCCCUCAUUUUUCUUUUCCUUCACAAGAAGCCGAGACGUCAAAGACGUGACUCACGCACACAAGGCAGUCUACAGGGCAGUACCACCGCACAACACAGAGUCGGACAGCAAGUUCUUUUGCCUACAAGAGACAUACUCAUCAAGCGCAUACACGCAGACGGACACACACGCACACGUAUAUGCGUGCGUAGACACAUUCCAACAACAAAGAAGGAAGGUACGUGCGCGCACCAGCUUCCUUUCUCGUUGCUGCCCCCUCCUCCCUUUUCACCCCGCCCGUUUCUAUUCUUCCCACUCUCCCACUCCCCAGCACACACGUGCAGGCCCCUUUCCCCAUCCUACGUCUGCCGUUGAAGCUCUGGAGAGGAGUUGCUGCGCAGCAGCCGUAUUUUAUUCGCUUUUCUCUUCUGUUCCGUUGCCGUUGCUGUGUGUGCGUGUCUGCUUCCGCAUAUCUUUAUAUAUAUCUGUCCGCUUCUCCAUUUGGGCUUCUUUUAAAGAGAGGCCACCUCCAGAGAAUCUAGCCAAGCAAUCAGGGGGCCUCUCCAAGACUGCCUCCCUCCUUCCCUCCCAGCUCUCUCUCUCGCCGUCUCUGUCGUUGUGUGUGCGAGAGAGAACCCGAAAGGAAGAACAGAAGACAUAUAUAUAUAUAUAUAUAUAGUUUUUCUUUUGACUCGAAAACCAACCGAACACGAACACGAACACGUACACACAAACCCCCUCCCCCCCAAACCUCCCCAGAGCAUCACGUGUGCGCUGUGUAGUGCUGCCUUGACGUCGCCGCCUUUCUUUCGAAGUCUUCUUUUGCCUCACACACAGUUGCGUGUGCCGCCGCUGCUCACAGAAGCGUCCCACAUUUGCCUUUUACGCUUUUCUUUGUAUUCCUCUCCCCGCCUGCAUCCAUCCAGGAACGCCACCCAAGCAGCGCCUUCACAGCCACGCACGCACGCACGGAGACGCACACAUAAGUGUAUUGCGUGUGCGUGUGUGUAUGUGUGUGUGUGUGUGUUGGAGGCGGGUUGUUGCCGUUCACAUUUCUUUUUUUUUUUGUUGUUAUUUCCUGAAGGAGCCUCUCUUUCUUUCCUUAUAUACCCAUACAUAUAUACAUAUACAUACAUAUAUACCUAUUGUAUGUAUAUGUAUAUAUGUAUGCAUGUGUAUAUGUAUGGGUAUAUUUGAUAUUCUCUUUUCUCGCACCUUUUUUUGUUGUUGCUCUGCCGCAGUCCGCACCGUCUCCCCUCCGUCUCCCCUCCGUCUCCCGCUCUUCUCGUUUCGAUUUCUUUUUCCCCCCUUUUACGCGAGGCACUCUUUUCCUUUUAUUUUUAUGCGUGCCUUCACGUUUUUUUUUUAUUACUUUUUUAGUUUUGUUCUCUUCCUCCUCCUGGCCGUCUUCCCCUUUUUGUCUCCUCCCUUCGCGUGCGUGUGUGUGCCGGUGUGCAAUCUUCAUCGUCUUGGUUCCUUUCUUUUUUGUUUCCUUGCGUUGGACUCUCUCUCCCUCUCCCUCUCGCGAUCUGUGACGAAGGCGCAACUGCGAGAGUGUCUUCCACGCACGCGCAUACACACAACGAGCACGUGACCAUACCCCUCCCCCUUCUUGGCACGGCACGACCGGAGGUGUCCGUAAGUGCGCAAACAGCAGCAGCAACUAUACACAGAGAAGCGACAGGCGAUCUUCGCCGAAGCGGUGACGUGAGCGCAUCUUCGGGUCAGCUGAGAUACCCAGUCCCACACAAUCACGCACGCAUCCGUCAUGGCGCCGCGGCAGCAACUUCGCGCCGCUGCGCUUUUUGGUGUGCUCCUCAUCACCGGCGUGGCGUGCGUCGGCGUCACCGGCGUCCAUGCCAGCUCCGAUGCGGUGGUACAGACAACCCCGACAUACCCGCUGCUGGAUGUUGUCUUUCUCGCCACCACCUCCAUGGACCCUGACAGGACGCUGUACAUAUCCUCUGCAAGCAACUGCAGCAGUCGAGUCUCGCCGAUCUGCACGCUGGGCCGCACUCAAGUCGGUGUAAACUACAACAGCUCAACGUGCAUCUUCAACGUCACGUCCGCCUCUCUCGGCUUGAAUGCGGCGACAGCGUCGUCGAUACCUGCGCUUCACUGGUGCAGCAGCGCCACCGGCACCACGCCCUUUGCGACGCUGCAGAUGAACGCGGUUCGCAUGACACCCGGCUACGCCUAUUACAGUGCGGACACGACCUUCACCUUCAACCAAGCGACCCCGGUUGGCGCCAAGGUAGGGCUGUACCGGGAAAGCAGCUGUGACACACUGCUGAAUGGCCUGCCGUUGACGACGCUGCAGAGCUCGCGCGAGCUGACAGCGAGCAUCGGUCCCCGCACUGUCACGUACGUGUGUGCGUCCAUUCCAACCGUCUUCAACAACGCCACCGUCAUUGCAGUGCGCUCGGUAGUUUACGGCGUGUCUCCCUAUGACAUAUACACCACCCAGGGCAUCCGCCAUCGCAGCGUCGUCAUCAGCGCCUCAUCGUCCUUCCACUACAUGUCACUCUCAACUGACCCGCAGUGCCUGACACUGGCGCAGCCAUAUCAGCAGACGGAGACGGGCGACGGGGUACUGACCAUCAAGGUGCCGCGCGGCACGUACUACUUCUGCGGUGUCGUCAUCCGCGGCCUCGAAGGGGUCGGCGUGUUUGUGCCGGCUCUUAGCACGUUCAAGGUGCUCGAGUAUGGCAUUCAGCCGCACACCAUGUACGCGGCGCGCGCCACUCCGAUGUCCUUCUCACUGGACGCUGUCGCUGUGCAGAGCAAGCUGCAGGGCGCCCUUUUUACCACCGCCAACUGCGGUGUGAGCGGCAGCAAGCCGGUGACAAGCUGGAGCGCGUCAAUGACGUGGACGGUGGGUGUUGCCGGCACCUACUACGCCUGCGUACGCACAAGUGGCAGCACCCUAGCCGCCGACGUGGGCUACGUCAAUCAGGUGGUGGUCUCCAACAUCCCUGCGGUGUCUCUCGCUCGCCAGCCGGCCAUCAGUGGUCUCGGCGAGCUGGCUACAGUGACGCGCAGCGCCCUCGACGACGUCCCCGCAGCUGUGGUGACAGUCGGGCUGUCGACUAGCUCGAGCUGCGCUACUCUCUUUGCCGGGGGUAGCACAACGGAGACGGGGAGUACGGCCUCUUUUUAUGUGCCUGAGAACUCGCCAAGCAGCACCUUCUAUUGCGUGUCGAACCGACUCACGACGGACGCGAGCGGCGGUGACAGCAGUGAGCCCACCAAGGCGGUCUACUACCCGCUUGGACCGCUGGAGCUGCGCACCUACGGCCUGACCUACCCUGCCCUACGCACCCAGGCGACGAUGAAGGUGGGACUCGACAGCGACGUUGUCUUCGGCAGCGGCACCUCCAUUUGUCUGACACCUGCUCUUCUCCCCAGCAGCAGCAGCAGCAGCAGCACUACCAGCAUUAGCAGCAGCACUAGCAGCAUUAGCAGCAGCUUCGUUGACCAUGACACCUGCGACACCGCGAUCGCCGCUAACAGCGACAUCGCCAUGACAUUCCAGCUCUCCAGUCUAACCUCCAUACUCACCCCCGUGCUAUUCCCAGUAGCAGGAAGUUGGUUGCUCUGCGUGCGGGAGCCUGGCGUGAUGGGCAGCGCGUACGUGCGGCUGCGCACGCUGCGCGUGUACGGCAACGCCACUGUGACCCCAGACGGCGUUAUACCGGGGAUACCAGCAAGGCUCGCCGUCACAGCGAUUCCGCCGUCGACGACGGUGAGCCUGACGACGGACAUCGCCUGCUCGAUCAACAUGCCAGUGGUGACCACGACGCAGUCGAGCCUGACUGGCACGGCUGCCCUCGUCUUCACACACAUGGCCCUGGGCAACCUCCUUCUCUGCGUUGGCUACCAUGGCGAGCACAUGUCUCAGGGGACGGCACCGGAGCUGAUGGUGGCUGGCACCGUGGCGAGCACGAAUGCCCGCGUCGUGCCACCCCUGGCUGUCGAUUCCGUGCCCACGCAGCUGACUUUUUCCGCCCGAGGCGCUUCGUCACUGAGCGGCUACACCGCGCUGCUGGUGCCGCCAAGCACCAGCGGCCGCGUUGCGACCACGUGUCCAACAUCCGCGACCGCUGAACUUAUUCAGCUACCAAUAUCCGUGCCUCCCUCCGCUACUACCGGCGCGAUCGCCGUUGCCACCUUCACUCCUGCCAGCAGCACGGUGGGCACCGCGUAUCUCGUGUGUGCUGGUGCAGCUGGAAAAUUUAUUUCAACCGGGACGGUGACGGUAGCUGCUGCUCCAGCCAUGACGACUGAUCCCUCGCCGCCCGCCUUUGGACUCCCAGCCCAUGUGACUUUCAGCAGUGCCAUUAUGUCCCUCUCUCACGCGGACACCUUCACUGCUAUCAAAGCCACGGACAGCUGUACCUCGGAUAUGAGCAUCGCAACCGUGUUCGCCACAGGGAGCGUGGACACCGCAACAGGGGCCGCCCAGCCCUUUGUGGUCCCCACGCUGCCUAGCACGGUCACGUCGGUGCGGCUGUGCGUGGCGAAGAAGGUCCAACUCGUCGGCAGCACGCUCGGCUACGCAGACGCAGGCGUCAUUGAACUAAACACCUUCACCUCCAUCACUAGGUACGCGCAGCAGGGGCGACCCAACACGCUGGUUGGCAAACCGCUCCUCAGCACCGCGACGCUCUACCUUGUCAGCUGCACCGGAGCUGGAUGUGGCGCCAGCAACGCCGACAUCGCGUGCUCUUCUACCGACGCCACCAAGUACACCACUUCCAGCCACUCACCCCUCACAGCUCCCGCGGGCACGUACUUCCUGUGCCAGCGCGUGACGGUGGGCACGGUGGUGUCGGUGGUGGGCUCGAACACGACGGUGGAGGUGGUGGAGCCGUUUAAGAUGCGCCUCUCCGUAGACCCCUCUGCCAUUCGCGCGUACGUGCCGUUCGCAGUGACCAUGUCGGGCGGCCCUGGCGGCGCGGGGGCGAAGUACACGGUGGUGGCGCAGCCCGCCUCUACUCCGUGCGGCAAGACGGCUGCCGAGUCACAGCGCUUUACCAUGGGCAGAGACACCACGGACAUCACCAUCACGGACAUCGUGCCGAUGCAAAACAUCUGCUUCUGCGUGCAACCGUCCUCUGCCGACAGCUUCGAGGUGCUGACGGGCACGCUGCGGCACUACAUGACGCCUGCAGCUGUGAUCGGCGACCGCGCGACGACGCUGACGUCUGGCGGUGUGAUUAGGGGCGCCACGGCGGUGCUGUCGCGCACGGCGGACUGCCUCAGCGUCGUGGCUGGCGGCGGCGCUGCGCCGAUUGUGGACGCGAGGGUGACGUUCACUGUCACGUCGUGCGGCGCGAACGGAGCGCUGGCGUCGCUGUACUACUGCGAGGCUGCUAGCGGGGGUGCGUACGCGUCCCGCGGUGCGGUGGGACUGCUGCGCGCGAGCGGGUGCAGCGGCGGCGCGGAUGCGAGCAUUGCCGAGGUGAACGCGGCGCCUGGCGCUGCGAUCGGCAGCUUCGGGAUCGACGCCGCGUACCUGGCGAGGCCGCGGCUGUCUGCGUCGCCGGACUGCGGCGUGCUGCUGGACGCAGCUGUUGCGAGCGUUGGGUACGCGCCCGGGGCUGGCGAGCGCGCUGCGUUCCACGUGUGCGCCGUGCUUGUGGGCGACGCGAGCGUGACGUUCACGACGGCGCGCCCGACGCUGCGCGUUGCGAACUGGGCCGUGACGCCGACUGCUGCUGUGAGCCGGUACAACGCGACGCUUGGCGCUGCUGCUGCUACUGCGGUGCGCGUGAACUACGCGACGCCGUCGAGCGAGACGUUCCUGAGCACUGCGAGCGACUGCAGCGUGCGGACGGCGAGCGCGGCGGGGCUGAGCGGGGCGUCGAAGGCGGCGACGUACAGCACGACCGGCGUGCGCGGGCUUGUGCACGUGUGCACUGUUGCGCCGCUGAGCGGGAAGACGCUGGCGGUUGCGCAGUUCCUGUCCGUGACGCCGCCUGCUGUGCUGCGUGUGUCGCCGGCUGUUGUGCGCGGCGGCGAGUACAGCGCGACGCUUGUGGUGGACGGUGCGCCGCCGCUGUACUCGAUGGUGCCUGGCGCGGACAGCGGGUACACGCACAGUGACUACUACACGAGCGCGAGCCGCGAGGUGUACCUGUCCGGGGACGCGUGCUCGGGCGUGCUUGCGGGGACGAGCGCGGCGACGGUGACGUCGAGCGGCAGCGUGUCGUUUGCGACGGCGGGCGUUGCGGCGAGCGUGAGCGCUGUGUGGCUGUGCGCGGUGACGGCUGCGGGGCCCGCGGUUGUGCUGGCUGGCGUGGCUGUUGCGCCCGGCAGGGUGCACCCGACGACAAUGGUGUCGGGCGCACUGGGUGCGCCUGUCUUCAUACCGAGCCUGAAGGGCACGGCGGUGCAGCUGAGCGCGUCUGCGAGCGGGUGCGGGUCUGUUGCUGGGAUGCCGAGCUUCACAACGGACGCGGAGGGCUACGGCGCUGUGGACCUUGUGGGCGGCGACGGCGGCGCGCUUGCGCCGGGCACGUACACGCUGUGCUACGGCGGUGCGCCGCGUGGCGGUGCUGCGGCGCUGGAGUCGGUGGAGCUUGUGCGCGCGUCGUACUUCGACGUGCGCGGGACGACGUUUGUUGUCGGCGUGGCGAGCCGGAUGCCGCUGCUGCAGGACCUGACUGCUGCGGCGCUUGUGCCCGGGUUCAGCACCGCGCGCGACUGCACGUCUGUGUCGAGUGAGCACGGCGAGUGGGCUGCUGUGACGAGCACGUCUGUGUCUGUGACUGCGACGAGCGUGUACACUGCUGGGCUGUACCUGUGCGCGCGUGCGCCGGUGAACGGGACGCUUGUGGCGCUGCCCGGGCGGUGGUCUGGGGCGCGGAGCGUGCAGUUCGUUGCGUCUGCGAUGCAGCUGCCGUCUGCUGGGUGGGACGCGUGCACGACGUACACGCUGGACCAGUGCUACCCGCCGGGUGCGAGCGCGAGCGGUGCGACGUCGGUGGUUGCUGUUGUGCACGGGGACUGCUGCAGCGAGUCGAGCCGGAGCGCGGUUGUCGGGGAGGCGAGCAUGGCGAGCGGGACGUGCGAGCUGACGCUGGACUACGACAAGGUGUCCGCGUACCCCGCGGGAUCGACGUACCACGUGUGCGUGUGGGACAGCGCGGACGACUCUGUGUGCACGACCGUGAGCGAGGCGCGCGUGAGCACGAACUGCACGCGCGGUGGCGGCGGUGGCCGGGGGCUGAGCCGUGGAACACUGAUAGCGAUCAUUGUCGUGUGCGUGGUGGUGGGAACAACUUUUCUUUGUUUGCUUUUGUGGACCGUGUGGUGCUGCUGCUGCCGCCGCAAGGCGGCUGAGGGCGCUUAUACGAGGCCAGAGAAGGGGCGGCAACUCGUUGGUUUUCACGAGUUCGGUGACGAAGACCGUCUUGUGGGCUAUGUUAUGAGUGGACGCCACCCGCUGCUGUACUACCCGUCCUCAAGCGUCCGCAUGGACCGUUCGGUGAGCGCAUCGCUAGGCUACCCUUCCAUCAGCGGCUCAGGUCGCAGUGCCUUGGAAGAGGUGGAGGAUGAGGGACGCGACCAGAUUGCGCUUCAGGAGGCGCGGGAACGCUACAACUUACGACUAACGUUCGCGGAGCGGCUGCAGCUGCUCGAACUGGCGGAAAAGAACGCCGCUGCAGAUGCGGCAGGCAUGAACACGACGUACGCCAGCGGGGACUCGUACCUGCACGGAGUAGCACAGCCCGAGCGCGGGCGCGUGGAGAGCAUCUUGACCGAGGGGGGGCCGAGGGAGCUUGAGAUGGAUCUCCCUGUGAGUGCCGCGGCCCCGCGCCACGCCGGCGCCAACGAACUCGAGUUCGCGGCCUUUGAGGUACCUGAGGAGCGCGACAUCAGCUUGACCGCCGACGCGAAUGUGUCGCUGGAGAUGGAUCCCAUCACGGGUGAGUACCAGAAGGUGCGUAGCCGAUCCAUUGAAAGCGCGCCGCGGCGGUGCCUCUCACCGGUGGAGAGCUGCUGGACAAACGAAGACUUCGAAGAGCGGGAGGAGGAGGAGAGCGACCGGAAGAUUGCCGUCGAGGCGGCAAUUCCCGACUCGGAGCUGAGUGUGUGGAGGUGGCCACGGCAGGCCGGUGGCGACCAUGAGGAGCCGCGACGCGUAGUUGUGCGGCAUUUUGCGAAACCGACAUCGUCCAAGUCGCGCCGUAGUGCCUCACUGAACCGCAGCGGCAGCGGCGGCCGCCGACGUAGCCCCACCGGCUCCGGGAGCGACGACAGAAAGCAGCAGCCACACUAUGACCCACUUGCAGUGAUGCCGGUGACGCCAAAGGCGCUGCCAACGUCCAAGGGCCUCACGAACUACAUCCUGUCGCUGCCAGACGGGGAGAAUGAUAGCCCGCCAGACCUUCGGACUAACACCGCGCACGAAGUCGGUGACACCAACACUGCCGAGUCCGCCAUCUUCUCUCGCUCCCCGAUCACCCAUGCGGGGACAAACGACAUCUCAGAGGAGGCGCUGCCGGUGGGCGUUGCACGCGUCCGGUCUUCCGAGGCCAUCGCUGGCAAAGUCAACAGCGAUGAGAGCGAGGAUGACCUGCUUAGCUUCACGACCACGCAGCGCUUCUACGACGAGAAGCGCUUCUUACGGGAGCAGGAAGACGGCAGGCGUCAGCGUCUGUGCAACUGGGAGGAGGAGGAGCGGGCACAGCUGGCGCAGGAUGAGCUGAACGGUUACAUGGCGCUCUCCUCGGCUACCGCAGCCGGCGGUAAUACUGCUAACGCGUCCUCUGAUCACUCGGAGAACAACGACACCGAGUACAAUGCCGGCGGCGGCGUGGGAAAAGGCCACUACGGCAAGGCUACGGCGAAGCAAGAGGGCGAGGAUGAGCAGGCGUACCACAUCCCCGCUGCUCCAACGACGCUGCCGUCGCUGCCACCGGCCCCACGCCCGCAAACAUUUCAGAACGACUACUAUCACGUAGUCCCCACCGGCGGCACCGGCGCGAGUUAGGUAGGAAGCGACACACACUUGUGUAGGUGUACCUGCUCGUGUCUCUGCUUCUCUAUAUAUGAGGGUGUGCCCGCUUCAUCGCUCGAUCGCGACCUCUGGCUUUCACAUGAUCCCCCCAUCUCCGUCCGUCCUUGACAACCAACCGCACAUGCACCCCCAUCCCCGGAUGGACAUCAGUGUCUUCCCCUCGAGCCGGGUGCGUUUUGGCUGCCGCCACUGAAGGGCCGCAGCUGCCUCGGAGUCACUGAGGCGCUCUCUCGUUCGCCUUUUUCGUUUUUCAAUUCAUUGUGUGUGUUUGCCUUUGUGUCUUCCCUGCAUUUUCUACUCUGUGGUGUGCGCGUUACCGGCCGUAAGUGGGGAUACGUAUAUAUUCAUCUGUUCCAUCUCUCGUACUGCUGCUCCCUCUUCGUCCACGGCGUGGUGUUUGCCAGACGCCCCCUCCUCUUGCGUUGUGCUGCCCUGGUCUCGUUUUCUUCGCCUUGCGUUGUUGCUGUUUUGUGUGUUGGUGUUGGCCGUGUGGCGUUGCUCUCCUUCCUUUUAUAGUUCUUCGUCUUAGGCGCGUGCUGGAGUUCGACCCCCACCUCCCCACCCAGAAAACAACGCGUGACGUUGAAUGUCUCUCUGCCACCUCUGCUCGACCAACAACCACACGCACACGCGCAUCAACACGCAAGAAGAGCGAUCACGUCGGGGAAAGAGGGGGGGGGAGGUGAAGCAGGCACACAGCGAGGGAGACACAGACUCUGAAGUGCACACGCACACACACACGAAAAAAGGACACAGUGAUACACCGCAUUUUGCUAUCAGACUCCCUCUAAUAUCUCUCUCUAUAUAUGUAUACGCAUGUGCGCGUCUGUGCAUCUGGCUCGUGUGUGUGUGUGUGUGCGUGCCGCUCACGCAAUGGCACCAUAUCCUUUUUUUUUGUUGUUCUCGUCGUGUUUUGAGGCGCUUUCAUUUUCUUUCUGACUUCGGAAACAUAUAUCUCGCGCUCCGCCGCCCCCUCCUCCUCCUCCUCCCCUUCCCUCGCCCGCCUUUGCUUUCUGUUUUCUGUUCUCUCUCUCGCUCUCUUCGUCCUUCUUGCUUGUUCGAGGGAUGGGAGGAGGGAGGAAGGGAGGGGGCCCAUUAGAUGCACAACCCCUACAUAGAGGCUUGCCUGAUUCCCCAUCGCCCCGCCCCGCCCCUCCCCUCCCUAACCAACCUUUCACGACUUUCUUUGUUUUUUUUUUUUACUUCCAUGGCUGUGCGUCUCCUCCUUUGCGAGUGUGCACGCUCUCAGAACUCACGGACCCACACUCACACAUCCACACACAGCCACAGACGCACAUGUCAGCAUGAGAAUAACACCAAAAGGCAGAGCGCCUGUUUUCCUGUGCUCUUUUACGUUUGGAUUUGUGUGCUGGGCCAGGGCAGGAGCGAGCGUGGCGUGGUGCUUGUCGCCGUCGCCUCACCCCUCUACCAAGAACGUUCGUUUCUCUCCUCCCUCUCUCUCUGUCGUGGCGAGUCGCUCCCCAAUCCGUCACCCCCACCCCCUCCACGUCACUGCACCGCUGUUUUCUUCUUCUUUUGAUAUUCGUUCUGCGUUUCAGGCUUCGCCAGCUGGAGAGAUGAGACGAAUCUGCCGUCGCUGUCCUGAUGAAUACCACACGCACGCGCUCAGAUGUGCGCGUGCGUGCCCUAUCCACCGAGCGCAACGACGUCACCGCGAUAUGAAGCCCGUGUGCACACCACCGUCGCCGCGGCGAGUCGAAGCAGCGGCUGAUGCCACACAUAAACACGCACACCCUGGGUGCAAGAGGAAUGUUCUCUCUCUCUAUAAGUAAAAGCUAACGUUUCUUGUAUGCAUGAGCGUUUCGACUCUUGCAGACAUCUCACUCGAUAGCAGCGCGCACACAUCUGCAGACUACAUGUACACACGUGCACAGAUCAUGUGUACAUGCUUGUAUGCCCGUGUGCAUGUGCUGGUGCCAUUUAGGUGACGUUCUUAUUCUUCGUUGUUUCUCUUAGAUGCAGACCGACGCCGCUUCCCACCUCCGUGUGUCUCGCCCCCCUGCCUCUUCGUUGUCGCCUUCUCUCCCUGUGCAUGGCUUUGUGCGCGCUUGUGUGCGUGCGCAUGAGCGCUUGGAGAUAAACAACGAAACGCGAAGCACCGCCGUAUCUGCUUUCCCCGUUUUCGUUAUGCGUGCUCUAAGUCUCGCUUGCUUUCACUACCACAGCAACGUGCGCGCCGCUGUUUACGCCACUCACUCACGCAGGCAAACCCACCCUCACACACGCCAAGCAGCUCUCCAUGUAUGGAUGAUGCAUGCGGGUGGUGUGCGCAGACGCCUCUUCAUGUUUGCGUGGCCUCUUUUUUUUUUGGUUGUCUUGUAAGCGUUGCCUCUGUGCGCAUGCGCGCUCAAGCGAAUGUGUGCGUAUGUAGCGUGACCUGCAAACUUGUGCCUCGAUACGAUUGCUCGAGCGCUUUCCAACGUUGGUGCGCACACACAUGCACACACACACACACAGGGGGAGCGAAGGAAGUUCAACAGAAAAGCGAAGAACGCAACAUGGGAAAGGGGGCCACCAAUCGCAGAACGAUGCAAGUCGCCUAUGUUUUCUUUGUUGUUUGUUGGCUCGCGUUCGACCAAGCGUCUCUUCGCCACCGUUCGCGACCUAUGCAUCCCUUCAUUUUCUUCCCUCGUGACUGCCUCCCUCCUCCAUUCGUGGGAUGCGCAGCGCUGAAACAAACACGCAAACAUACACACACACACAUCGAAAAAACAAAAACAAAAAAA
rnacentral:misc_RNA from 1 species